rnacentral:rRNA from 1 species
AGAGUUUGAUCCUGGCUCAGGAUGAAUGCUGGUGGCGUGCCUUAGGCAUGCAAGUCGAGCGAACCGACGCAAGUCGGUUAGCGGCGGACGGGUGAGUAAUGCGUAGGAAUUUACCUCUUGGUGGAGGAUAGCUCAGCGAAAGUUGGGGUAAUCCUGCAUAAGUUCUCCGGAAGAAAGGCCGUAACUGGCCGCCGAGAGAGAAGCCUGCGUCCUAUCAGCUUGUUGGUGAGGUAAUGGCCCACCAAGGCGAUGACGGGUAGGGGGCGUGAGAGCGUGAUCCCCCACAAGGUAACUGAGACACGGUGCCUACGUCUACGGACGGCAGCAACUAGGAAUAUUCGGCAAUGGGCGAAAGCCUGACCGAGCGACGCCGCGUGCGGGAUGAAGGCCUUCGGGUUGUAAACCGCUGUGGAGAGGGAAAAUUAUGAUUGUACCUCUCUAGAAAGCACCUGCUAACUACGUGCCAGAAGCCUCGGUGAAACGUAGGGUGCAAGCAUUAUCCGGAUUUAUUGGGCGUAAAGAGUGUCGUAGGCGGUUUUGUAAGUGAUUGGUGAAAGCCUCUGGCUCAACCAGAGAACUGCCGGUCAUACUGCAAGACUAGAGUGAUUUCGGGAAGGCUGGAAUUCUCGGUGUAGGGGUGAAAUCCGUUGAUAUCGAGAAGAACACCAAGGGCGAAGGCAGGCCUUUAGAAAUCUACUGACGCUGAUGAACGAAAGCUUGGGGAGCAAAAGGGAUUGUAAUUGGUCCCAUCCCGCAGUGAUGCGGGAUUAAAAACCAACUAUAUCGGUAAACAUCCUUUAUAAUUUAUUUAUGAGGACAAUACCGAGGGAAGUCCACUUUCAGAAAACUCAGAAAACUCGGUAAAUCAGAGAAAUCAGUGAAUCAGAUAGUCAGAUAAUCUGCUAUCAUUAAGAUAAUGAUAAGAGAUGUAACUGACCUUGAGGUUUACAAAGUUUCUCUGGAUUUAUUGCGAGAGUUAUAUGAAUUGAUCAGAAAAAUACCAAAAUCAGAAUAUGAUACGGUUUUGCAAGUUAAAAGGGCCAGUAAAUCAAUUUCUGCCAAUAUAGCAGAAGGAUUUGCUAAGCGGUCUUCGGAAAAAGAAUUCAA